UACAGAGGUCUCAAGCGUUGUUCGGAUUCAUUGGGCGUAAAGCGCGUGUAGGCGGUCCGGUAAGUCGGCUGUGAAAGUCCAGGGCUCAACCCUGGGAUGCCGGUCGAUACUGCCGGACUAGAGUUCGGAAGAGGCGAGUGGAAUUCCCGGUGUAGCGGUGAAAUGCGCAGAUAUCGGGAGGAACACCAAUGGCGAAGGCAGCUCGCUGGGACGUUACGUGACGCUGAGACGCGAAAGCGUGGGGAGCAAACAGG
rnacentral:rRNA from 1 species